rnacentral:misc_RNA from 1 species
AUAUACCUGAAUGAUGCUGAAUAUUAUAAACUGGUGAUGCAGAAAAUAUGGUAGAUUGAAGCAUUCAUUUUCGAACAAAUUUUCAUGCAGAUCUAAGUCCUAACCAUUACAACUGUGAUAAAAAAACCUUUUACAAUGGAAUUAGUGUAUCUGUAGAUACAAGUAAUAAUCUCUUUAAUCCAAUUAUUGGAUGAAGUGAUAUGCAUGCAUGUAAGUGUAUAUAUAAAAGAAUUUCACUACCCUGGUAUACAACUCCGCUAUCAUAUGAAUAUUUUCUGUAAUUCCUGGUGUGUAAAGGCAUGUACCCGGUACAUUCAAGAUUCAAUAAAAACUGUUAUAAGAUUUUUCACUCUCAAAACAGAUCAUAUCUCAUUAUGUGUAAUAAAAGCAGUACUUUACAUUGUCUUGGCUAUCCUCAGCUGAGAUAUGAGAUCACUAGACCAAGUCUACAUCUAAACACAACUCUUUAUUUAUGAGACCUUCUUAAGAUUGUGAUAAUUAUCACAACAUAUCCUCAAAUUGCUUAACCAUUAUAAACUGACAAGGGCAUGUAGGAUUCAUGUAUUUACAAAGUGUAAAACUGAUGAAAAAACUUGAAGUUGGAAUUCUACUCCAACCUACCAAUAUGUUGUACAUGUGUACCACAAAUGCAUGUUAAUGUGUGAUUAUGAUAAGAAAUAAAGUGGCUGUAGAAGUUUACAUGUGCUGAAUUUUAUGAUUGGUGCAUUUUGUAUGAUUUAAUUAUUAUAAAUAAAAGCUUGUUGGGAUCUGCUAUUGAUUGUAAUGAAUUGUAAUAUUUGUCAUUUUGUUUAUCUUUAUAAUGUUAUACUGUGAUUAAAUGAAGUACUUUC